GUUUAUUUUUCAAAAUAAUCUUAAAUGACAAUUUCAACAUUUACAGAUUGUCCAGGAACGAUUACAUUCAAAAACAAAAGUCGUCAGUUCUUUGAAAGUGCCAGCUCUGCCUAAAUAACAGUAUCACAAGAAAGUUCGUUAAACUGUUUUAUUACACGGUAUAAAACAAAAAGUUUGUUAUACUGAUGUAACAGACUGAUAGACAACAAUAACAGUAAUAAAGACGAGAUGAGACGGAUGCAAGUGACUUAAAGCAACACUCUGUAAAUUUUGGCGCUCUAGCGGUUAACAAAUGGAACUGUACGCAUCCCGCGGAAGAACAUUCUAACCGGAGCUACUUUUCCAAGUUUUAUAUCUAUGGCGAUUCACGCAGGUGUGUGUUACUCCGCAGCGGUGACGACCCGAACAUGCUACAAUAGUCCAAAAAUAAUAACUUAUAAAUGUACCGUAGUGAUUUGGGAUAAGACAAAAACAUGAAACAGUCCAAACUGUCCACUGUAAAGCGCCUUACAAAACCGAUUCUUUUUGGGACACUGCUAGUAGGUUUGGCGACGGCAUUUUUGAAUAGGUGAGAUAACACACCCCCUUGACAUUGACAGUGUAUAGUUUAGACUGUAAAACAAUACAGAUGGUGUGUUGAACACACAAUAUUGUACAGUUUGGCCGUGUUAAAAUGAGUACUGACAAAACACAUGCGAAUACAUCAUCACAUAUAUAAGAAUCAAUCCUUUUGAUUAACGUUAGUCUGAGACUCAGUAUGCAAUCAUGUGUGAACAAAACCAGUUGUGAUUCAGUACAGGCGCCAUCUGUGUUCCUUACUGAACAUUCUAGCAGAAUAUCUGAACAUCUGAAAUAAUGGACUAAACGGUGUAUGCCAAGUGGUUAGACCUAAAUUGAAAAGAAAUGUAGAAAAUUAAAUGAUAC
ensembl:lncRNA